AUAAUCUGGUUUCUCUUCAGAUCACAUAGAUCUAUCUCCUUUUACUAAAGAUUUCUGUGGAGAGGAACAAUUUUGAGUUUUACUCAAUUUUUUGAGGACUUACACUUGCAAGACU
ensembl:snRNA U5 U5 spliceosomal RNA